rnacentral:lncRNA from 1 species
AUUUAAUAAAUUCUUAAUUUUAUGAUAUAAAAUGAUGUAAACAUUCACGAAAACUACAUUAAGUCCAUGCUUCUAUUGAAAUAUAAAAUAACUCUAUUGAGUAAUUUUAUAAUUUUUAAAAACAAAAAUUACCUAUAUAAGUAACUAAAAAAAAUAACUUGUUUAAGUAACGCCCCUGACUGAUAUAUAUAUUAAGGUAGGAAACUCAAGAUAGAAUCAUAGGAUGAAUUUAAAAGAUAAAGAUAUCAUCUAGAGAGAAACUAAAAAAAGUUUCCAAAAAAUGAGAAGAGACAAUUAUAAUGGCCCUUGUUUACCCCAGAAAUUGGAAAGUUACCAAUAUGUCUUCCCAAAUUUGUCUUGACUGCAAUAAGUUACAAAUUAAAUGUAUUUAAAAAAUUAGAAAUUAAACUAAUUUAACAUUUGAUGAGCUGCCCUGUCAACAAACUAGUGAAAAGUUUAUAUUUUGUGUGAAAUUUCUAAAUUUUCCUUGAAGUACAUCAACUUUUAAGUAUAUAUUAGAUUGAAAAAUUAUGUGGCACCAUAGAAACUACUUUUUAUUUGAUUAGAAUAUUUAAAUAGUUAUCAUAAAGUUUCUAUAAUAUUAUUUUGUUGUUUCUUGUCUGCACAUGUUUCCACAAUGAAAAUAAUGAUGAAAAAAUGCUGGGUUUAUCCAUUUCUUUGUUAUAACAUCAAAAAUCUCACUUAAUUGAUUUUCAUUCCUUGAUUUUAUGCAUUUCAAAACAAUAUGUGUAAUUUUAAAAUAAUUCUCAAAAACUUAAAUUUUUGGGUCACAUUUAGUUCCCACUACUCCUUUAUACAUAAACGCACAGUACUAUGGUAUAACCAUUUUGCUAUUAUAAUUUAAUAUCAUCAAAUUCAACUCUUUUGUAAACUUUAUUAUAACAUUUUGAGUUAAAAACAUGUAAAACAUUUUUUCUUCUUCUGAACCUUGUAAGGGAGGUAACUUUAAAAUGGGAGACAACUUAUGUAAAUCAAUAUAUGGGCUGUUCCGAAUUGUUAGGUAUUUAUACAUUUUGAAUUUGUCAAAAUACAAUAUUGAUUGUUUUAAGUUAUAAAGACAUUUAUUUGUAUAUUUCUUACAACACUGCGAAAGUUUUUGUUAAUUAAUAUAUAUUGCAUGAUUUUAAUAUAAUUAAAAACGGUAUGUUGAUGCAGUGUUUUCAUGCAUAAAUCAGAUUCUCUCAAAUUAUUAAAUGUUGUUACUCAGGUCUCUGUAAUAACGGAACAUACAAGGUAUGCAUCCAGAUGAUAGUAAUCAGUUAUUUACUGCUUUCUGUUGUUUUUUUAAUUUGUUUGAAACAUUACUAGCUAGAUUUAGUAAGAACUGUCACAAAAUGACGCAUUUGAAGAUGGUAGAGAUUUUUUCAGAUAAGUAAAGUGAAAUUUAUUUGUUGUUAUUGUUUUGAUAUGUUAAGGCCUAUUUUUUCUGUAUAACAACUAGUUGAAGUUUACAUAUUUCUGAUUUUUUUUUUAUAUUUGUUAAAAUAUGUGACAUUAAAUAAAACAUGACAUUGUAGCUAUAUUUUGUCUUUAAGGUUACCAGAAAGUAGCCAGCCUUUUUGGAACUGUACAUGUGUAUGAUCAUAGAUGUUAGGGGAAACAUUUUGUAUAAAUGAUAAGUUACGCUAUUUUGUGAUUUUUGGGAUACGAUUGCUGUCAAGCAAUCUGUAGACUUUUACCGUUGACUCAUGCUACAUUCCCUCACGUCAUUCGUUUUAUUCUAAACAUUCAGCAACGUCUCAGAUUCUUAUGAUUGUCUUGCUUUAAAAGGUAAAAACAAGC